GGAGAGGUGGGAGAGUGGCUGAAUCUACAUCCUUGGAAAGGAUGCAUACCGCAAGGUAUCGUGAGUUCGAAUCUCACCCUCUCCG
rnacentral:tRNA from 1 species